rnacentral:rRNA from 1 species
CCUACGGGGGGCAGCAGUGAGGAAUAUUGGUCAAUGGGCGGAAGCCUGAACCAGCCAAGUCGCGUGAGGGAAUAAGGCCCUACGGGUCGUAAACCUCUUUUAUUGAGGACGAAACAAAUGACGGUACUCAAUGAAUAAGCCACGGCUAACUACGUGCCAGCAGCCGCGGUAAUACGUAGGUGGCAAGCGUUAUCCGGAUUUACUGGGUGUAAAGGGCGUGUAGGCGGGACUGCAAGUCAGAUGUGAAACCCAUGGGCUCAACCCAUGGCCUGCAUUUGAAACUGUAGUUCUUGAGUGAUGGAGAGGCAGGCGGAAUUCCGUGUGUAGCGGUGAAAUGCGUAGAUAUACGGAGGAACACCAGUGGCGAAGGCGGCCUGCUGGACAUUAACUGACGCUGAGGCGCGAAAGCGUGGGGAGCAAACAGGAUUAGAUACCCUAGUAGUC